UACGGGGGGGGCAAGCGUUGUUCGGAAUUACUGGGCGUAAAGGGCUCGUAGGUGGCCAACUAAGUCGGACGUGAAAUCCCUCAGCUUAACUGGGGAACUGCGUCCGAUACUGGAUGGCUUGAGUUUGGGAGAGGGAUGCGGAAUUCCAGGUGUAGCGGUGAAAUGCGUAGAUAUCUGGAGGAACACCCGUGGCGAAGGCGGUUCUCUGGGACGGUACUGACGCUGAGACGCGAAAGCGUGGGGAGCGAACAGG
rnacentral:rRNA from 1 species